GGCUCGAAGCGAUACUGACGUGCAAAUCGUUCGUCUGACUUGGGUAUAGGGGCGAAAGACUAAUCGAACCCGCUAGUAGCUGGUUCCCUCCGAAGUUUCCCUCAGGAUAGCUGGAGCCCAUUACGAGUUCUAUCAGGUAAAGCCAAUGAUUAGAGGCAUUGGGGACGCAACGUCCUCGACCUAUUCUCAAACUUUAAAUAGGUAGGAUGGCUCGGC
rnacentral:ncRNA from 1 species